AUGGGCAUACCGAACGACUCCUCGCAUAUCAAUGAGAGAAUCACCAUUUAAUCUAGCAUAUGGAAUAGAAGCGAUGAUCCCACUUGAAAUCGGAUUAUCAUCAGCAAGGAUAGAGCAAUACAUUGAACCGAGCAACUCAGAAUGUCGGAGAGCCGAUUUAGAUCUACUUUCAGAAGUCCGACAGCAAGCUCAAGUUUGGAUGGCAGCCUAUCGGCAAAGGGUAGUCUGAUAUUAUAAUG
rnacentral:lncRNA from 1 species